rnacentral:rRNA from 1 species
AUUGAACGCUGGCGGCAGGCCUAACACAUGCAAGUCGAACGAGCGGCGGACGGGUGAGUAAUGUAUGGGGAUCUGCCUGAUAGAGGGGGAUAACUACUGGAAACGGUAGCUAAUACCGCAUACUAUCGGAUGCACCCAGAUGGGAUUAGCUAGUAGGUGGGGUAAAAGCUCACCUAGGCGACGAUCCCUAGCUGGUCUGAGAGGAUGACCAGCCACACUGGAACAGAAACACGGGCCAGACUCCUACGGGAGGCAGCAGGGGGGAAUAUUGCACAAUGGGCGCAAGCCUGAUGCAGCCAUGCCGCGUGUAUGAAGAAGGCCUUCAGGUUGUAAAGUACUUUCAGCGGGGAGGCGUUACCCGCAGAAGAAGCACCGGCUAACUCCGUGCCAGCAGCCGCGGUAAUUC